rnacentral:rRNA from 1 species
GACGAACGCUGGCGGCGUGCCUAACACAUGCAAGUCGAACGCUAAAGAGAGGAGCUUGUUCUUCUCGGAAGAGUUGCGAACGGGUGAGUAACGCGUAGGUAACCUGCCGCGUAGCGGGGGAAAACUAUUGGAAACGAUAGAUAAUACCGCAUAACAAUGGAUGACACAUGGCAUUUAUUAGAAAGGGGCAAUUGGUCCACUACAAGAUGGAACUGCGUUGUAUUAGCUAGUAGGUGAGGUAAUGGCUCACCUAGGUGACGAUACAUAGCCGACCUGAGAGGGUGGUCGGCCGCACUGGGAGUGAGACACGGCCCAGACUCCUACGGGAGGGAGCAGUAGGGAAUCGUCGGCAAGGGGGGGAAACCUGUGCGCGCAGCGCCGCGUGAGUGAAGAAGGUCUUCGGGUCGGAAAGGUCGGUUUUAGGUUAAGAAAGGGUUUGAGCGUUGAAAGUUCACUUUCUGACGGUAGCUGACCAAGAAGCGACGGCUAACUACGUG